UGGGAAUUUGGACAAUGGGCGAAAGCCUGAUCCAGCAAUGCCGCGUGUGUGAAGAAGGCCUUCGGGUUGUAAAGCACUUUUGUCCGGAAAGAAAUCCUUGGCUCUAAUACAGUCGGGGGAUGACGGUACCGGAAGAAUAAGCACCGGCUAACUACGUGCCAGCAGCCGCGGUAAUACGUAGGGUGCAAGCGUUAAUCGGAAUUACUGGGCGUAAAGCGUGCGCAGGCGGUUUGCUAAGACCGAUGUGAAAUCCCCGGGCUCAACCUGGGAACUGCAUUGGUGACUGGCAGGCUAGAGUAUGGCAGAGGGGGGUAGAAUUCCACGUGUAGCAGUGAAAUGCGUAGAGAUGUGGAGGAAUACCGAUGGCGAAGGCAGCCCCCUGGGCCAAUACUGACGCUCAUGCACGAAAGCGUGGGGAGCAAACAGGAUUAGAUACCCUGGGUAGUCCACGCCCUAAACGAUGUCAACUAGUUGUUGGGGAUUCAUUUCCUUAGUAACGUAGCUAACGCGUGAAGUUGACCGCCU
rnacentral:rRNA from 1 species